GUAAUAUUAACAAGUUUCGAGUGAUUAUCACGAGUAUAAAAAGGCGAAAAUAGUUUAAGGAAAAGUUACAUUCUACAAAUUGUUUGUAAACUACAAUCGCAAAACAAAAGUAAGAAUGAAAUUCCUUUCAACUGUUUUGGUAGCAGCAGUUUUCAUUAUUUGCUGGACUACAAUUGAGGCAGGCCCAGGAGCAGGUAAAGCUCAACUUGAAAAGGUAGAUAAAAAAGGAAUUUAAAACUGCAAAUUUCACGAUGGAAAUACAUUUUGUUAAAGUUAACAAUCAUUUGUGAGCAUAAUUAAUUAAAUAAAUACAAAUCAAUUAA